rnacentral:lncRNA from 1 species
GGCGACCAUUAUUGGGUGCUCCUCCAGAGAGUGAGGUUUGAAGCUUCCGUGAGUUGAGUUGGCCUCACCAGGACUGGUCAUCUGCUUCUGCCGGCCCAGGCCCCUGAGUUCGCGCAGCUCCAGGGGCGGGGCAUCGCCUCACCCCUUACAGCAGGACUGUAAGGUCAGCGACCCACAUUUGGCCUCUGCCUUCUCACCAGACCCCAGGCCCGCGACCCCCGCCAGGUCGGUCCCUUUCAUGAGCAAAUCCCAGGAUUGUGUAACCUUCCAGGAUACAUCAUACAGGUAAGACAUUGACUAAUUCAACAAACAUGUGAAAGAAAGUAACAGACAAAAAAAAAAAAAAAAAAGUGAGGUGAUUACAAAUUUCAUUAUCCUGGACAAGUAGACCUAUAGUUCUGUAUAUUUGCAGAUUUCCUUUCAGAGUUGUGAGUAUGUUGUACAUGGCAGCACACCUGUAUUUGUGAGCUCUCAGAAUUGGCCUGGCCAGGGGAUAGCAAAAAACAGACAGGAAAAAAAUGAAGGAGCUUGUUAGAGGUACAUAAACCCUGGAGCAGCAGAAGCAGUGAUGCCAGCAAAAGUAGUCCAAGGAUCUUACAGAGGGAGCAAGCUGCGUCCAACCAUGCUGCACUCCCUGCAUACCUGACAGAAAGGAGAGGCAGGAAGAAAGCA